AGGACGAACGCUGGCGGCGUGCUUAACACAUGCAAGUCGAACGAGGUGCUUGCACCUAGUGGCGAACGGGUGAGUAACACGUGAGCAACCUGCCCUUGGCUCUGGGAUAGCCUCCGGAAACGGGGAUUAAUACCGGACAUGACCUUCUUCCGCAUGGUGGAGGGUGGAAAGUUUUUCGGCCAGGGAGGGGCUCGCGGCCUAUCAGCUUGUUGGAGGGGUAACGGCCCACCAAGGCGACGACGGGUAGCCGGCCUGAGAGGGCGACCGGCCACACUGGGACUGAGACACGGCCCAGACUCCUACGGGAGGCAGCAGUGGGGAAUAUGCACAAUGGGGGAAACCCUGAUGCAGCGACGCCGCGUGCGGGAUGAAGGCCUUCGGGUUGUAAACCGCUUUCACCAGGGACGAAGCGAGAGUGACGGUACCGUGGGGAAGAAGCGCCGGCUAACUACGUGCCAGCAGCCGC
rnacentral:rRNA from 1 species